CCUACGGGGGGCAGCAGUGAGGAAUAUUGGUCAAUGGGCGUAAGCCUGAACCAGCCAAGUCGCGUGAGGGAUGAAGGUUCUAUGGAUCGUAAACCUCUUUUAUAAGGGAAUAAAGUGUGGGACGUGUCCUAUUUUGUAUGUACCUUAUGAAUAAGGAUCGGCUAACUCCGUGCCAGCAGCCGCGGUAAUACGGAGGAUCCGAGCGUUAUCCGGAUUUAUUGGGUUUAAAGGGUGCGUAGGCGGCCUUUUAAGUCAGCGGUGAAAGUCUGUGGCUCAACCAUAGAAUUGCAGUUGAAACUGGGGGCCUUGAGUAUGGUUGAGGCAGGUGGAAUGCGUGGUGUAGCGGUGAAAUGCUUAGAUAUCACGAAGAACUCCGAUUGCGAAGGCAGCCUACCAAGCCAUGACUGACGCUGAUGCACGAAAGCGUGGGGAUCAAACAGGAUUAGAUACCCGUGUAGUC
rnacentral:rRNA from 1 species